rnacentral:rRNA from 1 species
CAGUCGCCGCGGGAAUACAGAGGGUGCGAGCGUUAAUCGGAUUUACUGGGCGUAAAGCGUGCGUAGGCGGCUAAUUGAGUCGGAUGUGAAAUCCCCGAGCUUAACUUGGGAAUUGCAUUCGAUACUGGUUAGCUAGAGUGUGGGAGAGGAUGGUAGAAUUCCAGGUGUAGCGGUGAAAUGCGUAGAGAUCUGGAGGAAUACCGAUGGCGAAGGCAGCCAUCUGGCCUAAUACUGACGCUGAGGUACGAAAGCAUGGGGAGCAAACAGGAUUAGACCCCCGUAGUCCCUGUCUCUUAUACAC